rnacentral:rRNA from 1 species
AGAGUUUUGGAUCAUGGCUCAGGACUAACGCUGGCGGUGUGCAUGAGACAUGCAAGUCGGACGAGAAAGCGGUCUUCGGACCGUUAGUAAAGUGGCGGACGGGUGAGGAAUGCAUGGAUAACCUGCCUUCGAGUGGGGGAUAACCUCGGGAAACUGGGGCUAAUACCGCAUCGCUUCAUUGGGGCUCCUGCCCCAGUGAAUAAAGCUGACCUCUGCUUGCAAGUUAGCGCUCGAAGAUGGGUCCAUGCCCCAUUAGCUUGUUGGCGAGGUAACGGCUCACCAAGGCUCAGAUGGGUAGCCGGCCUUAGCGGGUGGUCGGUCACACUGGGACUGAGACAAGGCCCAGACUCCUACGGGAGGCAGCAGUUUGGAAUUUUCCGCAAUGGGGGAAACCCUGACGGAGCAACACCGCGUGGGGGAUGAAGGCUCUCGGGUCGUAAACCCCUGUCAGGAGGGAAGAAAGGGGCCGGGCAAAUAGCCCAGGUUCUUUGACGGUACCUCCAGAGGAAGCCAUGGCUAACUCUGUGCCAGCAGCCGCGGUAAUACAGAGAUGGUAAGCGUUGUCCGGAAUCAUUGGGUGUAAAGGGCAGGUAGGCGGUUACCGCAAG